rnacentral:rRNA from 1 species
AAAGGUAAAAUUAGAUUGUUAUAUUAUAUAAAAAAAUUUAAGUUAAAGUUAAAAAAAUGAGAAAUUAAAACUAGGAUUAGAUACCCUAUUAUUCUGAUGAAUAUUCAAGACCCAAGUAGUAUUAGAUAAAUACUUAAAAUUUAAAAGAUUUGGCGGUAAUUUAAUCUCACCAGAGGAACCUGUUCUUAAAUCGAUAAAACACGUUAAAUCUCACUCGAGUUUGUAUACCGUCAUUAGCAGUUAAUCAUUAGAGGGAAUUAAUAAGUAUAAUUGUUUAUAAGAAAAUUAGAUCAAGGUGCAGCUUAUAGGCGAGAUAGGAUGGGUUACAAUAAAUUACUAUUAGAUGGAAUAACAAUUAUCAAGGUGGAUUUGGUUGUAUUACAAACUAAAAAGUUUAAAAGAAAUGAGCACUAAAUUAUGUACAUAUCGCCCGUCGCUUUC